UACGGAGGGGGCUAGCGUUGUUCGGAAUUACUGGGCGUAAAGCGUACGUAGGCGGCUUUGUAAGUUAGAGGUGAAAGCCCGGGGCUCAACCCCGGAAUUGCCUUUAAGACUGCAUCGCUUGAACGUCGGAGAGGUGAGUGGAAUUCCGAGUGUAGAGGUGAAAUUCGUAGAUAUUCGGAAGAACACCAGUGGCGAAGGCGGCUCACUGGACGACUGUUGACGCUGAGGUACGAAAGCGUGGGGAGCAAGCAGG
rnacentral:rRNA from 1 species